rnacentral:rRNA from 1 species
ACUCAAAGGAAUAGACGGGGACCCGCACAAGCGGUGGAUGAUGUGGAUUAAUUCGAUGCAACGCGAAGAACCUUACCUACCCUUGACAUGCCAGGGAGCCUCUUGAGAAAGAGGUGUGCCCGAAAGGGAACCUGGACACAGGUGCUGCAUGGCUGUCGUCAGCUCGUGUCGUGAGAUGUUGGGUUAAGUCCCGCAACGAGCGCAACCCUUGUCACUAGUUGCUACGAAAGGGCACUCUAGUGAGACUGCCGGUGACAAACCGGAGGAAGGUGGGGAUGACGUCAAGUCCUCAUGGCCCUUAUGGGUAGGGCUUCACACGUCAUACAAUGGCGCAUACAGAGGGCUGCCAACCCGCGAGGGGGAGCCAAUCCCAGAAAGUGCGUCGUAGUCCGGAUUGCAGUCUGCAACUCGACUGCAUGAAGUCGGAAUCGCUAGUAAUCGCGGAUCAGCAAUGUCGCGGUGAAUACGUUCCCGGGUCUUGCACACACCGCCCGU